GACUUUUUGGCGCAACGGUAGCGCAUCUGACUCCAGAUUAGAGAAUAGCGUGUUUAAGUCACGCCGAGGCCA
rnacentral:tRNA from 1 species